CCGGCGAUGACCCUGGCCUCUCCUGUCUGCCUAUGAAAACCUGUCCUUCAUCCUGCCAAGCAGGCAGGAGGGCCGAAGGAGUGACAGUCACAGAGAGCAGGGGACACCAUCUCACGUACCCCCUCUGGAAUACGGGAAAAUCGAGUUCCCUCUUUAUGAAGUCACAAAGGGACUUGCUGUCUUCUCCAGCCACCUGGUUACAGCAGGUUAUCAUCACACAGCACCAGUGAGUUUAAGAAUUGAGGCUCCGAAGUUGGCAGCCCAGGGGUCAAACCCCGUCUCUGCCACUAACCUCUGCUCUUAACCUCUGUGGCCUCUGUUUCUCCAUCUGUAAGAGAAGAGAAACAGCACCUCCCUUCUGGUAGAAAUGUGAAGACUGAGCGAGUUCAUGGAAGCCAGUGGCCAGCACAGAGUGGUGAGGUCAGUGUCCUGGAGGAACCAGUGUCAUUGUUUACCACUUGGACCCACCAUGUGUUCCAAUCCCCAGGCUGCCCCAGCUCUGAGAUCCUGAGACACACAAGCGCAGUUCUGACCGAGGAUAAGAAGUUUGGUGAUCCAGCCUGGGGAGACAGGCUUGCUGGGGGAGUACCGUUAGCCCUGUGAGGUUCUGGGAAAUUCGGGCACUUCAUGGGAUGCUCAUCGACAGACUCCUGCAGCUCGGGCUGUGGGCAGAAUGGGGCCUAGGGACAGGUGGAGAUCCCCAUGGUUUGCUAAGAGGACUCCCACUUGGACGGUAUUCUUGGCUGCCCUGCUCUUUGUCUCACAAAGUCUCUUGCCACCACCUCCUGGUCCUGCAUCCCAGUGCGGAACGUGAGUCUCUACACCGUCUUUAAUAAAGAGCCACAAACCAAUCAUCUACAGGUAAUCACUCAACAAGAAGUGAAGACAGGAGGAGUGGAAGAGAGGACAGUGUAUGGCUUUGGGCAACCCACUCAGGCUCACCGAGCGUCCACAGUGUCUGUGCUGCAUGGGCUGGCUGCCGUUUGCUUGUACGUUUAUUCCAUCUUUCAACACAUCGCCACUGUGAAUGAGCUACACGAAGGAAGCCGGGUGCUGUGCAUCGAGGGGAGUGGACAGCCCCUGCCCUGCACCCAUGGAGCCUGUCUUCUGGGCUGUUGAGGAGGUUCAAUGAGCUAAUAUUUGAUUAUCACCUGGCACAGUGCCUGGCAUACAGCAAUACUCCAUAAAUGUUAGUUCUUCUCUCUGCCUUGAA